UGGGCUUAACAGAGCUCUAACAGUCGACUCCUCUCCUCCAAUCGACCCAGACGCCCUUCUUCUGUUACGUCGUGAGAGAUGUCACGAUCGUGUUUGCGUUGGCUGUUGGAGCUGCUUAUCUCAACAAUUGGCUUGUUUGGCCUCUCUAUUGGUUUGCUCAAGGAACCAUGUUCUGGGCUCUCUUUGUUCUUGGCCUCUAUUCUUGUCCCUUACCAUGGCUGGAGAAUUAGCCACGGAGCUCACCACCAGAACCGUGGACAUGUUGAGAACGACUAAUCUUGGCAUCCUAGUCAAAGAAUGGAGCAUUGGGAGUUUUCUUGUGCCACGGAGUGGAGGAAGUCUUGUAGUUUUCUGUCUUGUUGUCUUGUAGCAUUGGGAGUAAGCUUGUAGUUUUCUGUCGUGGAGUAAGUCUUGUAGUUUUCAGUCACUUUUGAUUACACACUCAUAUUCUCUCAUUCUCAACCAACCAAGAUCAUCUUGUAGACAUGUUUUUCAUAAAAUGUUUAAUUUAUGUAAGAACUUUUAACUAAGAGACUUGCAUUGGAGAUGGUAAAUAUUAAAAUUUCUUAGCUAUGUCUCUUAAGUCAUUUUAGAGCUUUGGGAUAAUGAUGCUCUAAGUCGUUUAACACUUUGAAUUUAGAUAAUUUCAUUGAAAAACAAGUAAUUUUUCUCAUGUACUGAGAUUUAGACAAAAUAAAGUAACACGAGAUUCCUUUCACACAUUCAUCAGUUCAAUUUGAAAUCAAUAUGGUUUAGUUCCAAUAUAAUUGCCCACAGGGUCAUAGUUACACACAAUAAUACUUGCACCAUUGGCACACAUACCCUUACCACAACCGACCCGAGCAGAGCCACGCCACACGACCUGCGUGUAGUGCCCACAAGCUGAACCGUGGCACGAGUUUUAGUAAUAAUCAUAAUACGACUUUUCAUCUAUCCACAUCGCAACAGCCUGAGCUGCUGACAUGUCUCCGCUCCCAUUGCAAGGUUCUCUCCAUAUGGUCCAGAUGAAGGCUCGAGGCUGCAUGAACCGACUGCUAAUUGGUUUGCGUAGUCCUGAGCCACAGUGGCUAGGCUGAAGUCCCAUCUUAGAGGCUUGACUCUGACCAAGGCUCGGGCUAUUAGGGAUAAAUGUCCCACAUCGGAUAUUGGAAGGGAUCCUAAGCAAUAUAUAAGAUAGAUGGGUCACUCCACUUAGCACCAAUUGGUUUUAGGUUGGAAGUCCAUCUAGCUUAACAUGGUAUCAGAGCCCGAUCCACGCAGUCCAAUCCGAUCCAUUAUCGAUCCAGCCCAAAGUCGGCCCAUCGAUCCUUGCCCGAGCAUUCCGAGAUUGACGCUCAAAGAGCCAUCAUCUCGAGGGGGCGUAUUAGGAUAAAUGUCCCACAUCGGAUAUUGGAAGGGAUCCUAAGCAAUAUAUAAGAUAGAUGGGUCACUCCACUUAGCACCAAUUGGUUUUAGGUUGGAAGUCCAUCUAGCUUAACAUGGUAUCAGAGCCCGAUCCACGCAGUCCAAUCCGAUCCAUUAUCGAUCCAGCCCAAAGUCGGCCCAUCGAUCCUUGCCCGAGCAUUCCGAGAUUGACGCUCAAAGAGCCAUCAUCUCGAGGGGGCGUAUUAGGAUAAAUGUCCCACAUCGGAUAUUGGAAGGGAUCCUAAGCAAUAUAUAAGAUAGAUGGGUCACUCCACUUAGCACCAAUUGGUUUUAGGUUGGAAGCCCAUCUAGCUUAACACGGGCUACGUUGUGUGGUCUGAGGUAGUUGUCAGGAGAGUCAUGGGACUGCGAAUACUGAGAAUAUUGUGCGAAAGAAACAUCUAUUUGAGUCAAGUAGUUGAUGAGAAGUAAGAGAAGCAAGGAUUCUAUAGAGACCUUACGAAACAUUUUCAAUGACUUUGUUCUUUGUUUCGUAAAGUAUGUAUGGGAACAAGAUGAGUUUCCUGUGUUUUGUGAUGCUACUUAUAGAAAGUGUUUUGUUCUUCUGGUGAUCUCUCCCUCACUCGCAACCACGACGCCGCGAAUGAAUACUACCGAAAGGUCGAUUCUUCAGCCGGCGAGACGAAUUCUCUUGUGGCGGAGCAAGGAAGCUUGAGAGGUGAUGAAGAUGACGUCCCAUCUCAGUGCACCUGAUGCUUGGGUUGAUGUGGUUGAGAGGUUCUCUAAUGACAACAACAAGACUCUCAAGUCAGUCUCUCCUUCUAUUGUUUACAAUAACAUCAUAUAUAUGUAAAGGUUGACACUUUAGCUCUUUAGAAUUGGUCCCGCUUGAUCUCAUUUGAAACACAAUUAUCCUUUUUCAAGUGUUCACAGAAUAAACCAUUGGUUGGUUGCAGGAGGACAACAAAGAGCACAAGGUGCCUUAACUUGGGAUCUUACAACUAUCUUGGAUUUGGUUCUUAUGAUGAAUACUGCACCCCUCUUGUUAUCGAGUCUAUGAAGCUCCCGAGUUGAUGCAGGUUCCAGUUUCUUAAUCUCUAACAAUCUCUCUCUCUGCUGAGAAAAAAAGAGAAAAUGCAUCAAAGAGCAGCAGAGUCUCUGGAACAAUCACUUCUCUGCUGAUAUUCUACUCCACCAUGGUAAGCUCUGAUGGUAGCCACCAGUCUUUGCUUGUGAACUUGUGUGCUAAGCUUGUUCUUUUUGUUUUUACACAGAUUCUUCCAGCAUCAAGGUAAAGCAUCUCAAGCAUGACAAAGAUUGUUCACAUCAUUUUAUACUAGUGUCCAUCACUCUGUAACUGAUAGAUAAAUCAUCUGAACAAAAGAAGUUUGCUUAGAAACACCACUUAUCAUCACGAAAAUUGCAUUCUUGUCAGAUUUUGACUUCUGUGAUAGGAUAAAUAGCCACAGCUAGAGCUGCAGCUGCGUGUAACAUGAUCAUGAUUGUAUCAUAUGCACUAUUGAGGAGGUUGCUUCAAGUUGUAACGCUGUUCGGUUUCUUCAAAUAUAUGUAAGUACAU